UACGGAGGUGGCAAGCGUUGCUCGGAAUUACUGGGCGUAAAGGGCGCGUAGGCGGCCCCCUUUGUCGCGUGUGAAAGCCCCGGGCUCAACCUGGGAACGGCGCGCGAAACGGGGGGGCUUGAGUUCGGGAGAGGAGAGUGGAAUUCCCAGUGUAGAGGUGAAAUUCGUAGAUAUUGGGAAGAACACCGGUGGCGAAGGCGGCUCUCUGGACCGAGACUGACGCUGAGGCGCGAAAGCGUGGGGAGCAAACAGG
rnacentral:rRNA from 1 species